CUGGCGGCGUGCCUAAUACAUGCAAGUCGAGCGCGGGAAGCAGGUAAUCGCCCUUCGGGGCGUGCGCCUGUGGAACGAGCGGCGGACGGGUGAGUAACACGUGGGCAACCUGCCUGUAAGACUGGGAUAACUCCGGGAAACCGGGGCUAAUACCGGAUGAUGUCUUUCCUCGCAUGAGGGAAGGCUGAAAGACGGCCUUUGUGCUGUCACUUACAGAUGGGCCCGCGGCGCAUUAGUUAGUUGGUGAGGUAAGAGCUCACCAAGGCGACGAUGCGUAGCCGACCUGAGAGGGUGAUCGGCCACACUGGGACUGAGACACGGCCCAGACUCCUACGGGAGGCAGCAGUAGGGAAUCUUCCGCAAUGGACGAAAGUCUGACGGAGCAACGCCGCGUGAGUGAUGAAGGUCUUCGGAUCGUAAAACUCUGUUGUCAGGGAAGAACAAGCGUGGUUCGAACAGGGCCAUGCCUUGACGGUACCUGACCAGAAAGCCCCGGCUAACUACGUGCCAGCAGCCGCGGUAAUACGUAGGGGGCAAGCGUUGUCCGGAAUUAUUGGGCGUAAAGCGCGCGCAGGCGGUUUCUUAAGUCUGAUGUGAAAUCUCGCGGCUUAACCGCGAGCGGUCAUUGGAAACUGGGAGGCUUGAGUACAGAAGAGGAGAGUGGAAUUCCACGUGUAGCGGUGAAAUGCGUAGAGAUGUGGAGGAACACCAGUGGCGAAGGCGACUCUCUGGUCUGUAACUGACGCUGAGGCGCGAAAGCGUGGGUAGCGAACAGGAUUAGAUACCCUGGUAGUCCACGCCGUAAACGUUGAGUGCUAGGUGUUAGGGGGUUUCCGCCCCUUUGUGCUGAAGUUAACGCAUUAAGCACUCCG
rnacentral:rRNA from 1 species